UACAUCAGUGAAUUGUUCAAAGUUAUCUAAUCCUGGAGGAUCAGUGCAAUGGCCUAAGGGAAGAAAUGCUCAUUCCAGUGUAUUGAUUAACACUAGCUCAGGACCACACCUACUAGUGGUGGGUGGGUAUGGUGCUUAUGAUCUUUGGAUAUUUGAUAUUAACAAUAAAUCAUGGAAGAAACUGGAUAAUUUACCAGACAAUUUCACUAGGAGAUGGUUUCAUUCUCUCUCAGUUGGGAGUGUGACUCCAACCACUAACUGGAUAAUUGUGUUUGGAGGAAGUUCAU